rfam:Gossypium raimondii Chr09_contig_309, whole genome shotgun sequence.
GCAAUAACUCCGCCUGUGGAAACACUAAAUAUUUGUGAAACAGCCGGUCCCAAGCCCGGAUAAAGGAGGAGGGUUGC